rnacentral:tRNA from 1 species
GGGCCAUUAGCUCAAUCGGUAGAGCACCCGGCUCAUAACCGGUAGGUUGGCGGUUCGAGCCCGCCGUGGCCCACCA